AAAUUUAAAAGGUGAUUAAUAAAUGCAAUGGCAGGCACACAGCCCUCUUAACUCUUUCUGGUGGGACAUGUGAUGUGGUCUUGUUUGAGAGGAGCAGAAGUAACUGCAUAUCUGUCCGAUCUUUAGCUCAGGGCUUAGAGGCUGUGGGCUGAAGGAGAGCACAUUUACUCAUCCCAGGUUAAUACAGCCUUGUCUGUUUCACAUUAUACGGUCCUCCGUGUUUGUUAUCCAUGAGAUUUGUGUGCCCCAGAGGGUGAUGAAAUCUUCAUGUCAUGUAACUUUGGUGCAUGAUGGAGCAGAUAUUUGCAUGGUGGACUGCUUUUCCUAGGACUGUGCUUUCGCUGUUUAGCACCGACGUAGGAUAAGAUCUGAUUGGAAAUGUGACGGGACGAGAAGACAUGGAUAAAAGGAGCCUGAACUGAGUCCACACACUGAACUCAAAGACCUGCAGGAGGAGAUGGAAGAAAGAAAACCAGCAGGUUUUGAGGAUGAGAAGAACACAAGUAAUAGCAGAGGAGGUGCUGUGCAGGAGAGGUGGGCUGGGUGGGCUCCAACCACCAUCCUUUCUGUUAACACCCAAACGCGCUAACCGAUUGCGCCACAGAGACACACCGCCUCAAGGGCCUGUUAUAAUAAGGUCAUGGAAUCAGAAUGUAUUCCCAGUCGCCUCCCACCCUAGCAGGAAAAAGAUUCAAGUGUCUCCUAUUUUGUGCAACCUCACGAACACCAGGAACACUGAGCCUGGUCGUCGGACACGUCUUGGAGUUGACUUGGAGCCCGAGGGACCUAAGGGAGCUGGGGGCUCCAGCGAAACAGCGGAAGGCCCCAGACCAUACUCCUCUGCUCCUGGCCGCCUUGAGAGCGGCCCUUCAACGCGUGAACGAACGCAACCGCCCAUUUCCCAUUCGCCAUCGGCCUCACUCGUCGUGCUCACCGCAAGUCCCUCCAAGCCCGGGUGGUCGCGCAGAGGAAGGACACCAAUCGGCUGUGUCCCCACCGCCCCGCGCACUCUCAGCGCCUCCAGCGUUCCCUCGCCACGCAGCCCCUCGCCUGGAGCACGCCUGACACCCAGCAACCGCCCAGUAAAUGCUCUGCCAAGGAUGCACACCACCGCAGGAUCCAGAACAAGAAUUCUUAUGCCACCUCUAAGAUUUUUAGUCCCAAAGGAACCUAGAUUUUUCAGAUCGGCUCUUCUUCCAAACCUUUAUUCUAGCAGCAGAUUUAGAGCCAGACAGAAAGUUUUAGAAAGGCCAAGGGGGCACCCCCUCGACCCACUCUUCAGGCUCUCCACCCAAGAUGGUGGUGCAGCGGCCUCAGCCAGGGGUCGCAGGUGUCAGGGAGAAGGGUGAACGAGGAAAGGUGGUGAGGAGACAGAGGGUUAGGAGUAUUGGGGGAGAGAUCGACAGAGAGAGAGAGAGUGAGAGAGCGAGAGAUUGAGACUGGUGUGGGCUGUGGGACCCUGGCAGCUUGGGUGUGACAUCGAAUCCUAAUGGACAACCCGCUGCCAGUGCCUGAUAACCAUGGGCAGCACCGUGUGGUUCUACCUUUUGGACCAGGUGGCUUGCCUCCCUCCCGCCCACAGAGCAGGUGGGCAAGGUAGCGGGAGGCGCACCUCACCCNCCCCCCCCCCCCCCCCCCCCCCCCCCCCCCCCACCCCCGGCCCCUUUCUAAAGUGCAACAUUUGGCCGCAUUUACAGGAAUUCACCCUUUUCUGCCCUCAGGCUUCCGGGCAACUCCGGAGGCCCUGAGCACUGAUCUGCAGGGCCCUGAGGGGUCGCCUGGUUCCUGCCAGCUGGAACUUGGCUUGCAAAGAAAGAGGGCUCCCUCUGAUUUCCAUUUCCCCGGCCUAGGCUGUGGGUGCUGAUCCAAGACGCAGGGGGGCUACAGAGACCCAAAGGAGGGAAUCUCCUGUCGGUCUUCCCCUUUGCGGAUGGCGUGCUCCCAUACGAAGAAAAAAACCCCCAAUAACCCGCGCACAAGGAAACUACCAGAGUCAGCAAACGAACUGUGUAUAGUGGCAGGGCACACGACAGGCAAAAAUCAGGUGUGUUUCUAUACAUCACCAGUGAACAAU
rnacentral:lncRNA from 1 species